UUAAAUUGAAGAGUUUGAUCAUGGCUCAGAUUGAACGCUGGCGGCAGGCCUAACACAUGCAAGUCGAACGGUAACAGGAAGCAGCUUGCUGCUUUGCUGACGAGUGGCGGACGGGUGAGUAAUGUCUGGGAAACUGCCUGAUGGAGGGGGAUAACUACUGGAAACGGUAGCUAAUACCGCAUAACGUCGCAAGACCAAAGAGGGGGACCUUMGGGCCUCUUGCCAUCGGAUGUGCCCAGAUGGGAUUAGCUAGUAGGUGGGGUAACGGCUCACCUAGGCGACGAUCCCUAGCUGGUCUGAGAGGAUGACCAGCCACACUGGAACUGAGACACGGUCCAGACUCCUACGGGAGGCAGCAGUGGGGAAUAUUGCACAAUGGGCGCAAGCCUGAUGCAGCCAUGCCGCGUGUAUGAAGAAGGCCUUCGGGUUGUAAAGUACUUUCAGCGGGGAGGAAGGGAGUAAAGUUAAUACCUUUGCUCAUUGACGUUACCCGCAGAAGAAGCACCGGCUAACUCCGUGCCAGCAGCCGCGGUAAUACGGAGGGUGCAAGCGUUAAUCGGAAUUACUGGGCGUAAAGCGCACGCAGGCGGUUUGUUAAGUCAGAUGUGAAAUCCCCGGGCUCAACCUGGGAACUGCAUCUGAUACUGGCAAGCUUGAGUCUCGUAGAGGGGGGUAGAAUUCCAGGUGUAGCGGUGAAAUGCGUAGAGAUCUGGAGGAAUACCGGUGGCGAAGGCGGCCCCCUGGACGAAGACUGACGCUCAGGUGCGAAAGCGUGGGGAGCAAACAGGAUUAGAUACCCUGGUAGUCCACGCCGUAAACGAUGUCGACUUGGAGGUUGUGCCCUUGAGGCGUGGCUUCCGGAGCUAACGCGUUAAGUCGACCGCCUGGGGAGUACGGCCGCAAGGUUAAAACUCAAAUGAAUUGACGGGGGCCCGCACAAGCGGUGGAGCAUGUGGUUUAAUUCGAUGCAACGCGAAGAACCUUACCUGGUCUUGACAUCCACGGAAGUUUUCAGAGAUGAGAAUGUGCCUUCGGGAACCGUGAGACAGGUGCUGCAUGGCUGUCGUCAGCUCGUGUUGUGAAAUGUUGGGUUAAGUCCCGCAACGAGCGCAACCCUUAUCCUUUGUUGCCAGCGGUCCGGCCGGGAACUCAAAGGAGACUGCCAGUGAUAAACUGGAGGAAGGUGGGGAUGACGUCAAGUCAUCAUGGCCCUUACGACCAGGGCUACACACGUGCUACAAUGGCGCAUACAAAGAGAAGCGACCUCGCGAGAGCAAGCGGACCUCAUAAAGUGCGUCGUAGUCCGGAUUGGAGUCUGCAACUCGACUCCAUGAAGUCGGAAUCGCUAGUAAUCGUGGAUCAGAAUGCCACGGUGAAUACGUUCCCGGGCCUUGUACACACCGCCCGUCACACCAUGGGAGUGGGUUGCAAAAGAAGUAGGUAGCUUAACCUUCGGGAGGGCGCUUACCACUUUGUGAUUCAUGACUGGGGUGAAGUCGUAACAAGGUAACCGUAGGGGAACCUGCGGUUGGAUCACCUCCUUACCUUAAA
rnacentral:rRNA from 1 species